GACGAACGCUGGCGGCGUGCUUAACACAUGCAAGUCGAACGGAAAGGCCCUGCUUUUGUGGGGUGCUCGAGUGGCGAACGGGUGAGUAACACGUGAGUAACCUGCCCUUGACUUUGGGAUAACUUCAGGAAACUGGGGCUAAUACCGGAUAGGAGCUCCUGCUGCAUGGUGGGGGUUGGAAAGUUUCGGCGGUUGGGGAUGGACUCGCGGCUUAUCAGCUUGUUGGUGGGGUAGUGGCUUACCAAGGCUUUGGCGGGUAGCCGGCCUGAGAGGGUGACCGGCCACAUUGGGACUGAGAUACGGCCCGGACUCCUACGGGAGGCGGCAGUGGGGAAUAUUGCACAAUGGGCGGAAGCCUGAUGCAGCAACGCCGCGUGCGGGAUGACGGCCUUCGGGUUGUAACCCGCUUUCGCCUGUGACGAAGCGUGUGUGACGGUAAUGGGUAAAGAAGCACCGGCUAACUACGUG
rnacentral:rRNA from 1 species